rnacentral:rRNA from 1 species
ACAGAAGGCAGCAGUAGGGAAUAUUGCACAAUGGGGGAAACCCUGAUGCAGCAACGCCACGUGUGGGAAGAAGCAUUUCGGUGUGUAAACCACUGUCGUGAAGGAAUAAUGCCUGGUCUCGGCCAGGUUGAAUGUACGUUGAAAGGAAGCACCGGCAAACUUCGUGCCAGCAGCCGCGGUAAUACGAGGGGUGCAAGCGUUGUUCGGAAUCACUGGGCGUAAAGGGAGCGCAGGCGGAGAUGCAAGCAGUCUGUACAAUACCGGGGCCCAACCCCGGACCUGCAGGCUGGACUGUUUCUCUUGGGUAGCUCAGGGGCUGGCGGGAUUCCUGGUGUAGCGGUGGAAUGCGUAGAGAUCAGGAAGAACACCGAUGGCGAAGGCAGCCAGCUGGGGGCUUAUCGACGCUCAUGCUCGAAGGUGCGGGUAGCAAACAGGAUUAGAUACCCUGGUA